rnacentral:rRNA from 1 species
UUUUAACGGCCGCGGUACCCUAACCGUGCAAAGGUAGCGUAAUCACUUGCCCCCUAAAUAGGGGCCUGUAUGAAUGGCUAGAUGAGGGUGACACUGUCUCCUAACGCCAAUCAGUGAAACUGAUCCCCUAGUACAAAAGCUAGGAUAGACCCACAAGACGAGAAGACCCUGUGGAGCUUUAAGCCAAGACACUGCCACUAAACCAGUGCCCGCUUUAAGUUGGGGCAACUACGGGGAAUAACUAAACCCCCGCGAGAAAAUCAACCCACACAUCAAGGAUAACACACCAAAAAGUGUUCGACCACUGACCCAGUAGUACUGAGUAACGAACUAAGUUACCCCAGGGAUAACAGCGCCAUCCCCCUCAAGAGUCCCCAUCGCCAGGGGGGCUUACGACCUCGAUGUUGGAUCAGGGCCCCCUGGUGGUGCAGUCGCUACCCAAGGUCCGUUUGUUCAACGGCUAAUGCCCUACGUGAUCUGAGUUCAGACCGGAGACCGGA